UACCUGCAGCUCAAGUGGUGACCGCUAUUAUUGGGCCUAAAACGUUCGUAGCCGGUUUGGUAAAUGCCUGGGUAAAUCGUGUAGCUUAACUAUACGAAUUCCGGGUAGACUGUCAAACUUGAGACCGGGAGAAGCUAGAGGUACUCCUGGGGUAGAGGUGAAAUUCUGUAAUCCUAGGGGGACCACCAGUGGCGAAGGCGUCUAGCUAGAACGGGUUUGACGGUGAGGAACGAAGCCCUGGGGCGCAAACCGGAUUAGAUACCCGGGUAGUCCAGGGUGUAAACGCUGCUUGCUUGAUGUUAGUUGGGCUCCGAGCCCAAUUAGUGUCGGAGAGAAGUUGUUAAGCAAGCUGCCUGGGAAGUACGAUCGCAAGAUUGAAACUUAAAGGAAUUGGCGGGGGAGCACAGCAACGGGUGGAGCGUGCGGUUU
rnacentral:rRNA from 1 species